rnacentral:rRNA from 1 species
UUCCGGGGAGGCCUAGUACAGGUGUUUGCAUGGCUGUCGUCAGCUCGUGUCGUGAGAUGUUCGGUUAAGUCCGCUAACGAGCGCAACCCUCGUCGUAUGUUAUAUGUGUCAUACGAGACUGCCGGUAAAAGCCGGAGGAAGGUGAGGAUGAGUGUCAAGUCAGCAUGACCUUUAUAUCCAGGGCUACACACACGCUACAAUGGUCUGUACAAUGGGUAGCCAAGCCGCGAGGCGGAGCCAAUCCUGAAAGCAGGCCUCAGUUCAGAUUGCAGUCUGCAACUCGACUGCAUGAAGCCAGAGUUGCUAGUAACCGCAGGUCAGCAAUACUGCGGUGAAUACGUUCCCGGGUCUU